rnacentral:rRNA from 1 species
GACAGAGGGUGCAAACGUUUGUUCGGAAUUACUGGGCGUAAAGCGCGUGUAGGCAGCCCCGCAAGUCGGAUGUGAAAGCCCUGGGCUCAACCUAGGAAGUGCAUUCGAAACUGCGGGGCUGGAGUCCUGGAGAGGAAGGCGGAAUUCUCGGUGUAGCGGUGAAAUGCGUAGAUAUUGGGAGGAACACCAGUGGCGAAGGCGGCUCACUGGACCGGUACUGACGCUGAGGUGCGAAAGCGGUGGGGAGCAAACAGGG